rnacentral:lncRNA from 10 species
GUUUUGUGCUUUGAAUGCUUGUGCCUGGAGAUCCCAGCCCAUAACAGCACACAAUAGGUGUCCCCUGUGGGGGUAACCCACAGAGUAUAACUCCCAGAGUAUAACCCAGGUGAUAUUCUGCCACACCUGUGCUCUGACAGAUGGUGGUGUGGAGAGAGAAAUUUGCCACAUCAACACAUGCCAAGAUCAUGCAUGUGAUGGCUGGAACUCAGUCAUUUUGGACCAUGAAGACCAGACCCACACGCUGGGGCCUAAGAAGCAGAAGUAUGAAAGCCACCUGGAUCCCUGAAGACCAUGGAAUUGUUAGAACAAUUCUACUCUAUCUGUAGACUUGUUUUAUUUGAAAGAUAAGUAGAUUUCUGUCUUAUUCAAUUCACUGAUUUUGGUUCUUUGUUAUUUGCAAUCAAAUCUAAUUCCAGUAGAUACAACUCCUAAGUGCAGAGCACUGUUCUAGGGAUUGUGGGGCAUGCUGACAUGGGUCUCAUGCCUGCAUAGCACUCAUAGCCUGCAGAAGAACAGCAGUGCUGCCAUAUCUGAUGGUCAUUUGACACACUGAACUCCAGCCAUAUCAAUUUUCUUUUCAGUCCCCAAAUGGCAGUCACCACAAAAGAAGAAAAGAUAAAGCUCUUAGUGGGAUCUGAAUCAAGAGAUACCACUUACAGUGGAAGGAAAAAAGAUCAUUUUCAUGGAGGAACUGCCCUUGAAUUUCGCCUUGAAUAUUGAUGAGUAUUGGAAUCUGCAGAGACUGGGAUAAGGUUGGGAUGAGGUCGAACACUACAGGAACAGAAAAUAUGGAACAUGUUUGGGAGCAGGCCAGGGAUUCUGUCAUAUAAAGUGCAUGAAAAAGCAUAUCAUGUAAUAUUUAUGAUUAUUGCUCUGGAGUUAGACUGUUUGGGUUUGAAUCCCAGAUCCAGUGUUUACUAUCUAUGUGACCUCGGCUGAGUCAUGAACUUCCAUGAGCUCCAUUCUUCUCACCUUUAAAAUGAAGAUCACAACUCCUACCUUCUUGGCUUGUUACCAGAAUUAAAUGAGUUUUUAUGUGUGGAGGGCUCAUGAGAGUGGCUGUCCCAAAUAAGCAUUCUCUAAAUGUUAGAUAUGACUGUCAUCCCCUUAAAACUGCAAGAGUUAGUUGAAACCAUAGCAAGCCGAGCCAUGAAUGCCAUGUUAAUGCAUGUUAAUGCCAUUAUUAUAAAGGUACCAAAAAGCUGCUGACAGUUUGUGAGCAAAGUUGUGGAUGACAUUAUCAGAGCUGUAUUUUAGGAAGUCUUAAUAUGUCAACAUAUGUCAUACUAUUAUGUUUUCUCUCCCCCGCACUCCAUUAGCCCACUGACCUAGGUGCCUCUUCCUCCCGGAACACACCAGCAUUCAGCAAUUCCCCAAGGUCCCUCCCCUGUCUCCAAAGCUGUCUGCCUGAUCACUGACUUAGGCAAAGCUUCCUACUUUUCAGAGACCUGUGAAAGGGAGCCAACCCCCUGGCUCACAGCCCCUAGCCCUAGUUGUUCCCAUGGACUUGCUGAAGGAUGUGAUUCUUUUGCCACUCUUCCACUCCUCCCCCAAUUCCUGCAACCCCCUCAGGAGUGGUGUUCUCAAUGGUGACAUUGUGACUCCAAGCCAUGAAAUAUAGGCCAGUUAUUGCAUCAUAGAUGGAUUAUAUGAGCCUUUUAUUUUCUUCUUGGUGACAACGGGAACCAUGCCGCCUUCACAAGAGCUGGCAGAGACAGUUGACUAUAUUGUAUGCUAUUAACUGAAUUAUGCCUCCUCAAAAUUUGUAUGUUGAAGCUUAUUGACUGUAUUUGGAGAUAGGGCUUUUAGAAGGUAAAAGUCAAUAAGGUCAUGAGAAUGGGACCCUAAUCUGAUGGGGCUGGUGACCUUAUAAGUAGAAGAUAUCUUUCUCUUAUCUCUCUUUCUCUCAUUUUCUCUCUCUUGUUCACUCUCUCUUCACUUCCCUCCUUUUCUCUCUCCCCCCUCUCCCUUUCUCUCCCCCCCUUUUUGAGCACAUGUGCCAAGGAAAGGCUAUGUGAAGACACAAAGUGCCACCUACAAACCAGGGAGAGAGCCCUCACUAGACACUAACCCAGAUGGCACCUUGAUCUUGGACCUCGAGCCUCCAGGACUGUGAGAGAAUAAAAUUCUGUUGUUUA